GACGAACGCUGGCGGCGUGCCUAAUACAUGCAAGUUGAGCGAUGAAGAUUGGUGCUUGCACCAAUUUGAAGAGCAGCGAACGGGUGAGUAACGCGUGGGGAAUCUGCCUUUGAGCGGGGGACAACAUUUGGAAACGAAUGCUAAUACCGCAUAAUAACUUUAAACAUAAGUUUUAAGUUUGAAAGAUGCAAUUGCUUCACUCAAAGAUGAUCCCGCGUUGUAUUAGCUAGUUGGUGAGGUAAAGGCUCACCAAGGCGAUGAUACAUAGCCGACCUGAGAGGGUGAUCGGCCACAUUGGGACUGAGACACGGCCCAAACUCCUACGGGAGGCAGCAGUAGGGAAUCUUCGGCAAUGGACGAAAGUCUGACCGAGCAACGCCGCGUGAGUGAAGAAGGUUUUCGGAUCGUAAAACUCUGUUGGUAGAGAAGAACGUUGGUGAGAGUGGAAAGCUCAUCAAGUGACGGUAACUACCCAGAAAGGGACGGCUAACUACGUG
rnacentral:rRNA from 1 species